rnacentral:rRNA from 1 species
AUGCCCACUUGCUCUGCUAUUUCUCAGAAAAAAGGAAGACUGUACUACUUGGUCAGAGUACUUAUCCCUGUGGUUAGCUUCAUAUCACUCGUAUUGUUAAUUUACUUUGCACGCCUGGGGGCCAAGACACCAAGAAGAGCAUCCUUAUUGUUGCUUUAUUCUGGCAAUCAUUUUCCUAGACUAUCCUACAGGGAUAUAGCUCAAGCUACACAGAGCUUUUCUGAGUCUAACCUGGUUGGCAGAGGAAGCUACGGUUCAGUAUAUAGAGGAAAGUUAACUCAAGCAAAAAUACAAGUGGCUAUUAAAGUUUUUGACCUCGAUGUGAGAUACGCAGACAAAAGUUUCAUAUCAGAAUGUGAGGUUUUGAGAAGUAUUCGACAUCGAAAUCUUGUUUCUAUCCCAACAGCAUGUUCAACAAUAGAUAAUGAUGGUAACGCUUUCAAAGCUCUAAUUUAUGAGUUCAUGCCAAACGGGAAUUUGGACACAUGGUUACACACAAAAUCUGCUGGUGAAGGUCCAAGGAUUUUGAGCUUAGGGCAAAGAAUAAGCAUCGCUAUUAAUAUCGCUGAUGCAUUGGCCUACUUACACCAUGAUAUAACAAGAUCCAUUGUCCAUUGCGAUCUGAAACCCAGCAAUAUCCUCCUGGACACUGAUAUGAAUGCAUAUUUGGGUGACUUCGGCAUUGCAAACCUCGUCCGUAAUUCAAAGUCAACAUCAGUUGGGCAUUCAAGUUCAGCCUCAACUUCAGAUGGCUCAAUUGGAUUGAAAGGAACUAUAGGAUAUAUUGCUCCAGAGUAUGCUCAAACUGGCCAAGCAUCAACUUUUUGGGACGUUUACAGUUUUGGAGUAGUUCUUCUAGAGAUGCUGAUAGGGUAA